rnacentral:rRNA from 1 species
AGAGUUUGAUCCUGGCUCAGAUUGAGCGCUGGCGGCAGGCCUAACACAUGCAAGUCGAGCGGAAACGACACUAACAAUCCUUCGGGUGCGUUAAUGGGCGUCGAGCGGCGGACGGGUGAGUAAUGCCUAGGAAAUUGCCUUGAUGUGGGGGAUAACCAUUGGAAACGAUGGCUAAUACCGCAUAAUGCCUACGGGCCAAAGAGGGGGACCUUCGGGCCUCUCGCGUCAAGAUAUGCCUAGGUGGGAUUAGCUAGUUGGUGAGGUAAUGGCUCACCAAGGCGACGAUCCCUAGCUGGUCUGAGAGGAUGAUCAGCCACACUGGAACUGAGACACGGUCCAGACUCCUACGGGAGGCAGGAGUGGGGAAUAUUGCACAAUGGGGGAAACCCUGAUGCAGCCAUGCCGCGUGUAUGAAGAAGGCCUUCGGGUUGUAAAGUACUUUCAGUUGUGAGGAAGGGUGUGCAGUUAAUAGCUGCGCAUCUUGACGUUAGCAACAGAAGAAGCACCGGCUAACUCCGUGCCAGCAGCCGCGGUAAU